rnacentral:rRNA from 1 species
UAUAGGGGGGGCAAGCGUUGUUCGGAAUUACUGGGCGUAAAGGGCUCGUAGGUGGCCGACUAAGUCAGACGUGAAAUCCCUCAGCUUAACUGGGGAACUGCGUCUGAUACUGGAUGGCUUGAGUUUGGGAGAGGGAUGCGGAAUUCCAGGUGUAGCGGUGAAAUGCGUAGAUAUCGGAAGGAACACCUGUGGCGAAAGCGGCUCACUGGACCAUAACUGACGCUGAGGCGCGAAAGCUAGGGGAGCAAACAGG